UGUGUGUGUGUGUGUGUGUGUGUCUGUGUGUGUGUUUUUUUGACAAUGCCACGCAGACGCAGACACGCCGCUCGCCCCGUUCGUAGACGUAGGAGGACUCGCAGGUCCUCCCAUGUCCACAGACGGAGGAGAG